AACGAACGCUGGCGGCAUGCCUAACACAUGCAAGUCGAACGAGACCUUCGGGUCUAGUGGCGCACGGGUGCGUAACGCGUGGGAACCUGCCCUUAGGUUCGGUAUAACUCCCCGAAAGGGGUGCUAAUACCGGAUAAUGUCUUCGGACCAAAGAUUUAUCGCCUUUGGAUGGGCCCGCGUUGGAUUAGCUAGUUGGUAGGGUAAAAGCCUACCAAGGCGACGAUCCAUAGCUGGUCUGAGAGGAUGAUCAGCCACACUGGGACUGAGACACGGCCCAGACUCCUACGGGAGGCAGCAGUGGGGAAUAUUGGACAAUGGGCGAAAGCCUGAUACAGCAAUGCCGCGUGAGUGAUGAAGGCCUUAGGGUUGUAAAGCUCUUUUACCCGGGAUGAUAAUGACAGUACCGGGAGAAUAAGCGCCGGCUAACUACGUG
rnacentral:rRNA from 1 species